UGGGGGAUAUUGCACAAUGGGCGAAAGCCUGAUGCAGCGACGCCGCGUGGGGGAUGAAGGCCUUCGGGUUGUAAACUUCUUUUGCUCUGAACAAGGCAUGCUAAUGGGUGUGUUGAGUGUAGGGGUUGAUUAGCGCCGGCUAACUACGUGCCAGCAGCCGCGGUAAUACGUAGGGCGCGAGCGGUGUCCGGAAUUAUUGGGCGUAAAGGGCUUGUAGGUGGCUGGUUGCGUCUGUCGUGAAAGCUCAUGGCUUAACUGUGGGUUUGCGGUGGGUACGGGCUGGCUUGAGUGCAGUAGGGGAGGCUGGAAUUCCUGGUGUAGCGGUGGAAUGCGCAGAUAUCAGGAGGAAUACCGGUGGCGAAGGCGGGUCUCUGGGCUGUUACUGACACUGAGGAGCGAAAGCAUGGGGAGCGAACAGG
rnacentral:rRNA from 1 species